UACGGAGGGUGCGAGCGUUGUCCGGAAUCACUGGGCGUAAAGGGCGCGUAGGCGGCUGGGGAAGUCGGCGGUGAAAGCCCGGAGCUCAACUCCGGGUCGGCCGUCGAGACUCCUCGGCUCGAGCUCACUAGAGGCAGAUGGAAUUCCGGGUGUAGCGGUGGAAUGCGUAGAGAUCCGGAAGAACACCGGUGGCGAAGGCGGCCUGCUGGGCAGUAGCUGACACUGAGGCGCGACAGCGUGGGGAGCAAACAGG
rnacentral:rRNA from 1 species